GCAAGUUCAUUAUCACUAGAUUUUUUUUUUUUUUUUUUUACCUUAUAAGGAGUUCCAAUGUUUCAAAAAGUUUUAAGGCAACCUUGAGACUUUUCUUAUCAAGAACUGAGGUGUAAGUAUUCAAUUCUCCCAAAAACUUAAGCCAGUGGUUGAAGGCAAAUUUAAUUAUAUACCACUAACUCUCCACAUCACUUGUGGGCUUGAAAUAUUUGAUAAAGGCCCAACAAGUGGAAAUCAAUUUCAAUUGGGGAAGAAACGACAAUGUAUGGCUUGAACACAAAACCUCCCUGAAGCAUCUGCUCUGAUACCAUAUUAAACCACCUAUUCACCAAAAAACUUAAAUUAAUGGUUGAAGGCAGAUUUAAUUAUAUAUCACUAAUAAUGGUAAGCUUUGAGGUGGUGUGAGGCAUGAGGCUAAUUUCAAAUAGAGUAAAAAGCAUAAAAUCGUACAAGCUUACCAGCCUAGUAUUGUAGCAUUUAGAAAGAUUAAACUACAUCAACUAUUACCUUUAUCUUUUGAGCUAAAAACAAUACCUAAAAUUAGGGAAAUAAAGGAAGAAUACACAAAACAAAUUAAAAAACAAAGGAAAAACAUAGGAAGAAAGUUGAAAAAAAAGACAUGGGAAAAUAUAGCAACUUUUUUUUUUUUAAAUUAAUUUUUAUAAUUAGAACGGCAUACCAUACAUAAAUUUAGAAAACAUGAAAAAUAUCUUGUAGAGUUAUAUUUAUUUUAAAAGUUGUAGAAGUAUAAAAUAUUACAAGAGUUGGCAGUAACACCACAGAAAAAAUAGAAGAAAAGAAAAACCUUCGAUAUUUAGCAUAGAGAAAUUUUUCCAUGGGCCCUGGCUGUUCUAAGGAAGAAGCUACCCGGUUUGUUUUUGAGAAGGGUGGUUUGAUAUUUAGCAUUAAUAACCUUCCUCCGUUGAGCCAUUGAGCCAUGUUUAGACUAUUAUUGCCAAAUCCAUUUUGCAAGAAGGGUUCUGUUCCUGUCUUUCAAAGCAUAAAACCCAAAUCCAUCUUCUUUCAUGGGAUUAAGAAGAAUUUCCCAUUUAAAAGAUGAAGACCCUCAUCUUUGUUACCCUUCCAUAUCUUACUCAUAAUUAUGCCUCAAAGGCGUAAGUAUAAAAACACACACCUCUUUUCUUUUAAAGCAAAAGCCUAUUUCAAGCCUUUAUUAUUAUUAUUUUUAUUAAAUGAAAACGACUAAUUUCAUUGAGACAAAAGUGAAAAAACACACACAAAAAAAAAAAAAAAAAAAAAAAGAAAAAGAAAAAAAAGAAAAAAAAGAUAGAAGUCAUGUGAAGCAAGUGCAUGCAUCAAGUAAUAUAAUAUGGUUAAAAGCUUAAAAUGGCUUUGGUCAAGUAUCGUCUUGGGGAAUUAGAUUGAUAAAUUUUUAGCUAUUUUAUAGAUCAUUCCAACUUUAUUUAAGAUCAACUCAUGAGAUAGAUUAAAUAACCUAAGCUAAGGAAGCAAUAAAAGUGAUAUUAGAAAGCGAUAGAAGCGAUGUUGUGUUAUUAGCAAGAAAAUGUUCUAGGGAAUAAACUUCACUUGUGGAAUUACUGAACUCAAUUGCUUUACUCUUGAAUCAAUUAACACAAUAUCUAGAUCGAGAAGUCUUUUAUCUAGAUUGAGUCUUUCAAAACAAUAUUUUCUUUCACUUAAUUACUACUUACUAAUCACUUGAAACAAGGCAAUGAAGCAAAACAUUAAAACCAUUCUUUAACAAUCUCUACUAAUAUCCAACUACCCUUGUGUGUUCAGAUAAUAGUCUAACAUGAUCUAAUCUAAAACUUACUCGUUAAAGUUAGAUUUAAAUCAUGAAAUAAAUAUUGAUCAAACAUUCAAAAUCAUUAAGAACUGUCAUGCUAGAUAGUAAUAAUGUAAAUUAGAUUCAAGAUCAACAAAAGUGUUUAGAAAUAUUCCAUAAAAUCCAUCUAAACCUAGAACUAGGAGAAGUUAGCCUAACAUGGUUAGAACCACAAUUAGAAUGCAAAACAAAGAAAGAUCAAAUAUACAAAAGAGAAGGAAAAGUGUUACCUGAAGUUUUGACCUCGUCUAUGUGAUAGAUUCACCCUCCAAUCUUCUCCAAUCGACUUUGACAUCAAAUAAUUCUAUACUCUGCUCAAAAUACUCUCUCCAGGCCUCGAAACUCCAAAAUUUCAUGUGGAGGCCAGCCAUAAACCUUAUAACUUCCAAAAGUGUGCAUAUUUUUCCCAAAUUGACCUAGCACCUAGGCAUUGCCCUUGGCGCUCCCAAAAUCUUUGCUUCUGGAAAUUGUGCAAUCACGACCUUAUUUUUCGGUAAAUCUUCUUUUCCUCCCUAUAUUCUUCGAUGGUUGAUCCUGAUGAUCGCGAUCAAAAGGGUAUGUGGGAAUAUAAGUCGAAUCCAUAGGAAACCUUUGUGUUUCUCAAAUAAAAUGCCUACGAUCCUCAAAUAACUGAGGAGGGGGGGGGGUGUUGAUCGAAGUUGUUUGCAGUUGAAAAUAGCUUUGCAUGAGAUUUAAAUGAGAGCAAAAAAGAGAUUUGUGAAAUUUAAUAAUGAAAAAAUCUAGCAAAAGAUGUAUGUGCAAGGACCCUAGAUAGGGAAACAGUAGAAUAUUAGUAGGAAAUGAAGACGGUUAUUAAUGGGGGCACAUUAUUAAAUAGUUAUUAAGUUAGUUAGGUCUUUUCAUUAUAAAUAGUAGGAGAGGGAUUAGGGGAGAGGGGUGAAGAAUUUUGUAAAGGGAUUUCCUUGUAACCACCUUGGGAGAGUCUAGCCCUCUCGAAAGGCUAGGGUUACUUUGUUAUUGUUCUUAUGAUAAUUUAGGAUAUAUUUCAUACAUUUUCCUAUUUGAUUGUCUUUAACUGUUCUUGAGUUCUCAACCUUUGUCUUGAGAUAAUUCUUGUUAGGUGGGAUCCUAACAGUAUGCUCUCUCCUCCUUCCUCCGUUGUCUUCUCCAUUGAUCAUCUACACCUUUUUGGUGAUUUCUCCGACAUUUUCUUCAAUCCUCAACAUCACUCUCAGUCUUCUCCAGGGUUUUUUUUCGGCUUAGAUCUAGUACAAUGGAAGUAAAAAGUUGCAAAAUACUUCACUCGCACUUUUGUGUUUGGCUGGAAAAUGACCUUUUUCAUAUGGAGGAUAUGGAAGCUCAACGAUCUCUAGUUGUCCCAAAUGCCCACCUGAAUUGGUUCCCUACAGCGAUAGCAAAGUUAGUCAGAUCCUUGGAGAAUCGUUUCUUUCUGAAAUUUGGGGAGCUAGAUCAUGGGAGAACGAAGCAAAAGUUCAAAUCCAAUAAUUGUUAGGUUUUAUGUUGUGACUUCUGCCUAGCUUCAGGUGGACUUUCAACCAUUAGGGUUUUUUCAGAGGAAGACAAAAGGGGUGGUCGUUCUUUGUCCUGAUGUUGGAAUGGUUCCUAUCAAACUUGCACUAUAAGAAAUGGUUCUCGAGCCAUCGCCCUCUAACUCAACUCCCAUCAGAGCUCCAAAGAUCGUCUUAUGUGGAGAGUUAAGUCCCUUGAUUUUGCGGCCAUUAAUCAUAAUAAAGGGAACCCGAGCCAUUGUGCGAGCUUGAAAGUCUAUACUACCUGCUUUGAUACCAUAUUAAACCACCAAUUCACCCAAAAUCUUAUUUUUGGGUGAAUUGGUGGUUUAAUAGGACUCUUCCAUCUUUUAGUUGAAAAAUGGAACAAGUUCAAACAUGGCAAGUUGGAAGUUAUUUGAGGCUUCGAGAGUUACCAUCCAUCAACAACUUACCAUUAGAUUAUUGCAAGAAGGAUGUCUUUUUUGCAAUUGGGAAUUAUUUUGAGGCCUCAAGAGCAUAUCCCUUAAAUACAUUGAAUAUGAAUAAUGUGUCGAAAGCUAAAAUUAAGGUGAAGGAAAAUCUCUAUGGUUUUUUACCGGCAACAAUCGAAUUAAAGGAUGAAUUUCGUGGAAACUUUUAUCUUAAUUUAUGAGAUAUUGAAAUUAUUAAAGAUCCCUUAGCCGUUCAAGAUGCCCUCUUUAUCAAGGAUUUCUCAAAUCUGAUAGACUUGGCAAGGAUUUGUCUUAAGAUGAAGAUCUAGAUUUGAAUAUCUUUAAUCAGGAACGGGACUUUCUCAAUUUGUCUCUUUCAAAGCUAGGCUUCUCAAGAAAUCCUUGUGUUGACUUCAAUAGUAAUUCCGGUUGGGGAUCCUUGCUCAUCUUGGUGUAAUCUUCCACCCGCCGCAUUAAAUUUGGAUAGGAAAUUCAAAUUUGGAGGCAAACUUGAUUGAAAAAGGCCAAGAGUUUCUUUCACAUAGGAGAUAGAAAAUGCGGCUGAGACCUUUACUUUGCCCAAUAAGAAUCAUCACACAACAUUUAAACAAGUAGUUAAACUUCUCUUAAAUUAAUUCGGCUGAUACCUUUUUAAAGAAAGGGCCAAGCUCCCUUCAACUUAUUCUUCCGGUUCUUUCUCCUCUUCUUCUCUUUAUUCCUCAGCAAAGUAGGCUGGAGAGCAAAAAAAGAAAGAAAAAAAUCAAAGAAGAUUUCGACUAAACAGUCCUUAAAAGUGCAGAUAGUUGAAGAUCAAGUGCUUGAAUUGCUAGAGGCAAAAAGCGUUCCCCCACUCUCAAUCCUUAGUCAAACCCAGCAGAUUCAAGCUGUUUUUAGAGGCUAAUUCAUAUUUGUUGGAAGUUAGUUGCACCCAAAUUCAAGCUCCUGCAUGUUCUAUCAAGUCAGAUUGUCAUUUUUCUCACCCUUUGCAGUUUAAGUUCUUAGAGUUCUCUUUGCCCAACUCGAAGGUAAAAUUUUUUAGGGGCUCUCCGAGCAAAACCCCUCUCAUUCCCUCUAGAAAGAAGAGUGAGUUUUCCAUCAACUCUCCUUUCAACAUUAGUAGUGAGAAAGUGGAGCUUUUGGCUAAGCAACCGAGCUUGAGAGGCUGACGUUUAGAGCCUUUACAAACAGAUCUUAAUGCCUUGUUUGAAUGCAAGGCAGACCUGAAAUCUGAAAAUUUACCCUCUGCUGCUUGCUCUUGUCCCCAGUCUUGCGAAAUAUUAGAUCAUCUAAAGUCAAUAAUUGCCGAUUGUGGACUAAUUUUAAUUUGAUUCUUCAGCUGUUUAAAUGUAAUCCCUUUAGAUGAUCAGACCAAUUUCCGUCUUUCCUUGAUCUUUUCAUGUGGGCAGCGAGUAAAGCCUCACUUUUUGGAAAGGAUACAGAUCUUUUUAUUAGAUAUAAAAUAAGAAAGAGACAUAGUUCUAUGUACAUGAGGGAUAUGCAAAGAGACACCCCCCUAGCGCUCAUCAGGUCCAAGAAACUACAAACUUACUUAACCAGUUACAUCAAGAAACUCGAGUCCAAACAAGCUGAGACAGCACAAAAUUAGCACUAAUAAGAGUAGAAAGUAGAAAAACUUCUUAGAUAAUACACUCUUUAAGACACAUGAAAGUCUGCCAAUUUAAUUGAAUCUCUUGUGAGGAAUAAUCCUGGAAACCCUUGGAUACAGAGCACCAUGACGAAGCAUUUAAAUUGAGCAAACUCAAAACGAUUAUUCCAGCUUGAGGCCUUGUCGUGGAAAAAGACGCUGAUUUCUUUUGAACCAUAACUCUACAAGUAAAGCCUCACUGAUUGUGAAAUAGUUGCUGAUGGUUUUGAAGACUUCUUCGAGCUUCCUCUAGGUUUUGGAUUAUUUUGGCAAGACAGUCUUGAGGCAGCCAGUUGCAUCUUCUUUGCAUCUCUCUUUCUCCUGUUGAAGAUUUGGCCACACAAGAUUUUAGAUUCAAUUGGGUUCCUUUUGUGAGAGUUUUUAAGUUUUGCUUUGUAAUUAGCUUUCUACAUUUGUUUUAACUUUGAAUGGUAUGUUUAACUUGUUUAUUUUCUGCUGGAA